rnacentral:rRNA from 1 species
GGGUUGUGAGGUUAAGCGACUAAGCGUACACGGUGGAUGCCCUGGCAGUCAGAGGCGAUGAAGGACGUGCUAAUCUGCGAUAAGCGCCGGUAAGGUGAUAUGAACCGUUAUAAUCGGCGAUUUCCGAAUGGGGAAACCCAGUGUGACUCGUCACACUAUCAUUAACUGAAUCCAUAGGUUAAUGAGGCGAACCGGGGGAACUGAAACAUCUAAGUACCCCGAGGAAAAGAAAUCAACCGAGAUUCCCCCAGUAGCGGCGAGCGAACGGGGAGGAGCCCAGAGCCUGAAUCAGCAUGUGUGUUAGUGGAAGCGUCUGGAAAGGCGCGCGAUACAGGGUGACAGCCCCGUACACAAAAGCGCAUGUGCUGUGAGCUCGAUGAGUAGGGCGGGACACGUGGUAUCCUGUCUGAAUAUGGGGGGACCAUCCUCCAAGGCUAAAUACUCCUGACUGACCGAUAGUGAACCAGUACCGUGAGGGAAAGGCGAAAAGAACCCCGGCGAGGGGAGUGAAAAAGAACCUGAAACCGUGUACGUACAAGCAGUGGGAGCACAGGUUUACCUGUGUGACUGCGUACCUUUUGUAUAAUGGGUCAGCGACUUAUAUUCUGUAGCAAGGUUAACCGAAUAGGGGAGCCGGAGGGAAACCGAGUCUUAAUUGGGCGUUAAGUUGCAGGGUAUAGACCCGAAACCCGGUGAUCUAGCCAUGGGCAGGUUGAAGGUUGGGUAACACUAACUGGAGGACCGAACCGACUAAUGUUGAAAAAUUAGCGGAUGACCUGUGGCUGGGGGUGAAAGGCCAAUCAAACCGGGAGAUAGCUGGUUCUCCCCGAAAGCUAUUUAGGUAGCGCCUCGUGAAUUCAUCUCCGGGGGUAGAGCACUGUUUCGGCUAGGGGGCCAUCCCGGCUUACCAACCCGAUGCAAACUGCGAAUACCGGAGAAUGUUAUCACGGGAGACACACGGCGGGUGCUAACGUCCGUCGUGAAGAGGGAAACAACCCAGACCGCCAGCUAAGGUCCCAAAGUCAUGGUUAAGUGGGAAACGAUGUGGGAAGGCCCAGACAGCCAGGAUGUUGGCUUAGAAGCAGCCAUCAUUUAAAGAAAGCGUAAUAGCUCACUGGUCGAGUCGGCCUGCGCGGAAGAUGUAACGGGGCUAAACCAUGCACCGAAGCUGCGGCAGCGA